GUGCCAGCAGCCGCGGUAAUACGUAGGUGGCGAGCGUUAUUCGGAAUUACUGGGCGUAAAGGGUCCGCAGGGGGUCUGCCAAGUUCUGCGUGAAAGCCCGCGGCUCAACCGCGGGUUGGCGCGGAAAACUGGUGGACUUGAGUGCACGAGGGGAGAGCGGAAUUCCCGGAGUAGCGGUGGAAUGCGCAGAUAUCGGGAAGAACACCAGCGGCGAAAGCGGCUCUCUGGCGUGCAACUGACCCUCAGGGACGAAAGCGUGGGUAGCAAACAGGAUUAGAUACCCGAGUAGUCC
rnacentral:rRNA from 1 species